UAGUAACGGCGAGUGAAGCGGCAACAGCUCAAAUUUGAAAUCUGGCUCUUUCAGAGUCCGAGUUGUAAUUUGCAGAGGGCGCUUUGGCGUUGGCAGCGGUCCAAGUUCUUUGGAACAGGACGUCACAGAGGGUGAGAAUCCCGUACGUGGUCGCUAGCCUUCGCCGUGUAAAGCCCCUUCGACGAGUCGAGUUGUUUGGGAAUGCAGCUCUAAAUGGGAGGUAAAUUUCUUCUAAAGCUAAAUACUGGCCAGAGACCGAUAGCGCACAAGUAGAGUGAUCGAAAGAUGAAAAGCACUUUGGAAAGAGAGUCAAAUAGCACGUGAAAUUGUUGAAAGGGAAGCGCUUGCAGCCAGACUUGCCUGUAGUUGCUUAUCUGGACUUUUGUCCAGUGCACUCUUCUGCGGGCAGGCCAGCAUCAGUUUGGGCGGUUGGAUAAAGGUCUCUGUCAUGUACCUCCUUUCGGGGAGGCCUUAUAGGGGAGACGACAUGCAACCAGCCUGGACUGAGGUCCGCGCAUCUGCUAGGAUGCUGGCGUAAUGGCUGUAAGCGGCCCGUCUUGAAACACGGACCAAGGAGUCUAACAUCUAUGCGAGUGUUUGGGUGUCAAGCCCAGACGCGUAAUGAAAGUGAACGGAGGUGGGAACCUUUUAGGUGCACCAUCGACCGAUCCUGAUGUCUUCGGAAGGAUUUGAGUAAGAGCAUAGCUGUUGGGACCCGAAAGAUGGUGAACUAUGCUUGAAUAGGGUGAAGCCAGAGGAAACUCUGGUGGAGGCUCGCAGCGGUUCUGACGUGCAAAUCGAUCGUCAAAUUUGGGCAUAGGGGCGAAAGACUAAUCGAACUAUCUAGUAGCUGGUUCCUGCCGAAGUUUCCCUCAGGAUAGCAGUAACGUAUUCAGUUUUAUGAGGUAAAGCGAAUGAUUAGAGGCCUGGGGGUUGAAACAACCUUCACCUAUUCUCAAACUUUAAAUAUGUAAGAAGUCCUUGUUACUUGAUUGAACGUGGACACUUGAAUGUACCGUUACUAGUGGGCCAUUUUUGGUAAGCAGAACUGGCGAUGCGGGAUGAACCGAACGCGGGGUUAAGGUGCCAGAAUAUACGCUCAUCAGACACCACAAAAGGUGUUAGUUCAUCUAGACAGCAGGACGGUGGCCAUGGAAGUCGGAAUCCGCUAAGGAGUGUGUAACAACUCACCUGCCGAAUGAACUAGCCCUGAAAAUGGAUGGCGCUCAAUGCGUAUUACCCAUACCCCGCCGCCGGGGCAGAAUUUAUGCCCCGGCGAGUAGGCAGGCGUGGA
rnacentral:rRNA from 1 species